rnacentral:tRNA from 1 species
GGGCCCGUAGCUCAAACUGGGAAAGCGCUGCCCUUGCAAGGCAAAGGCCCCGGGUUCAAAUCCCGGUGGGUCCA